GUGUAAGGAAUAUGUCAAUUGGUAAAGUAUGAGACUAUUAAUCUCAGGAUCGUGGGUUUGAGCCCCACGUUGCGCA